UAGUCCACACCGUAAACGAUGAGAGCUAGUUGUCAGCAGGCAUGCCUGUUGGUGACGCAGCUAACGCAUUAAGCUCUCCGCCUGGGGAGUACGGUCGCAAGAUUAAAACUCAAAGAAAUUGACGGGGGCCCGCACAAGCGGUGGAGUAUGUGGCUUAAUUCGAUGCAACGCGAAGAACCUUACCUAGGCUUGACAUGCUUGUCGUACCUUCCCGAAAAGGAAGGGUCACUUCGGGUGGACAAUGCACAGGUGCUGCAUGGCCGUCGUCAGCUCGUGUCGUGAGAUGUUUGGUUAAGUCCAGCAACGAGCGCAACCCCUGUGAAUAGUUGCCAGCAAGUAAUGUUGGGGACUCUAUUCAGACUGCCCAGAUCAACUGGGAGGAAGGUGGGGAUGACGUCAAAUCAUCAUGGCCUUUAUGCCCAGGGCUACACACGUGCUACAAUGGCCGGUACAAAGAGUUGCUAAGCCGCGAGGUAGAGCU
rnacentral:rRNA from 1 species